rnacentral:rRNA from 1 species
AUUGAACGCUGGCGGCAUGCUUUACACAUGCAAGUCGAACGGCAGCGCGGGCUUCGGCCUGGCGGCGAGUGGCAAACGGGUGAGUAAUGCAUCGGAACGUGCCCAGUAGUGGGGGAUAGCCCGGCGAAAGCCGGAUUAAUACCGCAUACGACCUGAGGGUGAAAGCGGGGGACCGAAAGGCCUCGCGCUAUUGGAGCGGCCGAUGUCGGAUUAGCUAGUUGGUGGGGUAAAGGCUUACCAAGGCGACGAUCCGUAGCUGGUCUGAGAGGACGACCAGCCACACUGGGACUGAGACACGGCCCAGACUCCUACGGGAGGCAGCAGUGGGGAAUUUUGGACAAUGGGGGCAACCCUGAUCCAGCCAUGCCGCGUGCGAGAAGAAGGCCUUCGGGUUGUAAACCGCUUUUGUUCGGGAAGAAAUCCUCUGGGCUAAUACCCCGGGGGGAUGACGGUACCGGAAGAAUAAGCACCGGCUAACUACGUG